GCGGCCGAUAGGCGAUAAAUACGGGCGUCAGUGCCAUUAACUUCAUAUCUAAAACCUUAUAAGCGUUUUUUCAAGCACAGCUGCCUCAAAUAUUUUCCUUUUAAAACAGAUGAGACGCUUUUAAAGAUUCGGCAAACUCAUUCAAUCUUUAGCUUUGCAGCGAAGCAAGAACAACCAAGUAAAUGAAAAGUUAGAACAUUUUUUCAUCAUCAACAGAAUUGUCAACCUACAGCAAGCUAAAUUCGACUCGUGAAGACAGCACAAGGGUCAAACCGUCAACGACUUUUUCACAGAGUUCUGCAACACAACAGCGGUGGUUUCGGUGCUCUUCACGAAGAAUUGAUACGUGGAAGUUUCACCUAAAUGCAGAUUUUAUCUCAAGAAAAAGCGUUGGACUUCGCUCGUUGAAAAUAUAUCGUUGCAAAGCAGCAAGUCGACAGCAAAAAUCGCCAUAUUUAAAAGACAAAGACAUAUAAAGAAUCCGGAAACGGGACCCACAGAGAGAGAAUUGUAGGAGAUGUUCGGGAGAUCGCUGCAUCUGAUAGAUUAGCAAAAAGUCCAAGUGCUAUAACUGCCCACAGUUCACUAUCAUACGCAGAAGUUUUUUUGCAUCCAGUCUGCCGAGUACGACCUCAAUAACAAAGAAAGCGAAUACAAUUACCACGUUGGAAAGGGAAUAAUAUUAAACCUUGAUGUUUUUGCAAUAUAAUUCUCACAAGUUCUCAAUUCUCAACGUUUUAUUAAUUAUUUUUAACUAUCAUAUAGCUUUUAAUGAAAAAUUAAAAUGUGGCAAUUUUCUCUA